GGGAAGUCAAACGGGCUUGUUCCUCCUCUUGACAUUGCUAAUGAUCUUCAGAAGUGGAUGCCGUUUGAUACUGGUUUGGGGCCUCCUCAUCGCAGAUCAAACAGAUCGCACUUUCCACUGGACGCGGACAGAGGGUCUCAUCUCACUCCUAUUAGGCAUUUAGAUGGAGUUUCUCUGGGAAAAGUCCCUAGAGGUGCCAAUCACAGCAUGAGAAAAAGCCUGGCCUGGAAGAAGCUGCAAUCUCCACUCUGCCCAGUGGCUGGGGAUUACCAGCGCUUCCCGUGCCGCUGCCUGCUCCUGGAGCCUGGUGGAUGGGGGAGGACGGGUGCCUGCUUGUCUGCCACAGGUCUCAAAGGGUCUCUGAACCCUUCUGCGUGA
rnacentral:lncRNA from 1 species